GCUGGCGUGGUGGAAUUGGCAGACACGCAAGAUUAAGGUUCUUGUGUCUCCGUGACGUGCGGGUUCAAGUCCCGCCGCCAGCACCA
rnacentral:tRNA from 1 species